GGGCUACAAAGUCAACAUCCUAUUAUAUCUAUCAUAUAACAUUUUUAUCGUAGUGGAAUGCUGCACUCCAGUUUGUAUGAGAAAUUCUCACUGCAACGAGGUAGCCGUUCAGCUCAAUCAAGCCAUGAGAAUUGUUUCUGGUACAAGUAGAAGCAAACUAACGCAAUUGUUACUAAUAAUUCUGUCAAACGUAUAUUCCCGUAAGAAAUUCGCAAGAAAAUAGCAUCUUUAACCUAAGUAUAUUCAUAUUUAUAUUAUAAACGCGAAUGUGUGUUUGUUUUUUUUUUUUAUGUGUUUCGAGUCACAAUAAAUUAACAUAUGGACUUAAUUAAUGCUUAGGGAUAGUCGGACGACUGGAAAGUGACAUGGAAUAUUUUUCACUCAGAAAAUAUGCUCCUUAAUGGGUGACUGAUUAAGGGUUUUUGGCAUUAAUGGAACGAAAAUCGAAUUAUUUUGUGUUGAUUUAUAGGUUACUUUGGUGACACGGGUAAAAAAUCCCGUUAAUAUUAGUUAAUUUAGUUGUCAUGGACAAAGAAGUACCAUUUUAAAAAAUAAAUAAAUUAAGGGUUAACUGUUUGCGCAGUACGGAGUGGUAACGGCGAGACAUGUUUUUAUGACAUAGUUGUACAUAUUAGGAAUUAUUAAAAUGCGGGAAAUAAAAAUAAUUUCUACUUUAGAUGUUACAGUUAAGAAUUGACGUCCGUGAAGUUGGCAACCCACUUGAAGCUAUCGACUUCAAAUCAAUGUCAAUAUUUUACAAUGCCAAUACAUUUUGAAAUUUGCAACACCACCGGGUUCCGAAAAAUGUGAUUCUUUGUUGGCAGUAAUAUGCUGUUGCUAUAAGUGGCGUUUUUCGAUAUUACGAUAUGUUCCCUGAAAGCCAAAUGUAUUUCUCAUAUAGUCGGUUAUAUGUUGGCUGUUCGAGAGUUUCAAGUACUCAAAAUUUGAAUGUAUACUAAUGGGAAAUAACAAAUCAUACGUCAUUGUCGUCUACAGAUCUAUAUUGCAAUAAAUAAAUUCUUCCUAUC